UAACAAAAACUCAACAACGUCGUUCAAGCAUAUCACCACGCCCGAGCUAUGAAUAGAUAGUUUAUCCAGUAACGAUACUUUAAAUAUAUACUAUUUUUACAAGUGGUAAUGCCAAUUAAGAAUUAAUUGGCCUAGUGAUAAUUGAAGGUGCAUUUAGAACAAAAAAAAUAGUACCAAUGUACUUAUCGUUAACAAUAAAAGGGAGCAAAACUUCAAGACACAUGGCGUUCGUGAGCCUGAGGAGCACGUUGCGGAUAGGGCUGGCGGCGCUGACCGCGCUGGCGCUGGUCGCGCGCGGCAGCGCGGCGCCCGCCUUCGCCGGCACCGACAACGCCAUGAUGUACCUGGCGCAGUACGGGUACUUAAGCCCGGCGGUGCGCAACCCGUCCAGCGGGCACAUCAUGGACGAGAGCUCGUGGCGGCGCGCCAUUGCUGAGUUCCAGAGCUUCGCUGGACUCAACGCGACAGGCGAGCUGGACGAAGAGACGACGCAGGUGAUGUCGCUGCCGCGCUGUGGCGUGCGGGACAAAGUCGGCUUCGGGGAGAGCCGUGCCAAGAGAUACGCGCUGCAAGGGUCCCGGUGGCGAGUGAAGAACCUGACCUACAAGAUCUCCAAGUACCCGUCGAAGCUGAACCGAGCGGAGGUGGAUGCCGAGUUGGCUAAAGCGUUCAACGUGUGGGCCGACUACACCGACCUCACCUUUACCCAAAAACGAUCUGGACAAGUCCAUAUCGAAAUAAGGUUUGAAAAGGGAGAGCACGGGGACGGCGAUCCGUUUGACGGGCCCGGCGGCACUCUGGCUCACGCUUAUUUUCCGGUAUACGGUGGUGACGCGCACUUUGACGACGCAGAGAUGUGGUCUAUCAACUCGAGGAGGGGAACUAACCUUUUCCAGGUGGCUGCACACGAGUUCGGACAUUCGUUAGGUCUCUCGCACAGUGACGUUCGUUCCGCGCUCAUGGCGCCCUUCUACAGAGGUUACGACCCCGCCUUCCAGCUAGAUACGGACGAUAUUCAAGGCAUUCAGGCACUAUAUGGGCGUAAAACUCAGACUGACAUCGGAGGUGGUGCGCUGGCCCCGGCUGCGCCGCGGCCCACCACGGCACCGCCGUCGGCGGAGGACCCCGCGCUGUGCGCCGAUCCUAAUAUCGACACUAUAUUCAACUCUGCUGACGGAAACACAUUUAUAUUCAAGGGUGAACAUUACUGGCGGUUGACUGAGGACGGAGUGGCAUCAGGGUACCCGCGCCUCAUCUCGCGCUCCUGGCCCAACUUGCCCGGCAACAUCGACGCCGCCUUCACCUACAAGAACGGCAAGACUUACUUCUUCAAGGGCUCCAAAUACUGGAGGUACAAUGGACAGAGGAUGGAUGGCGAUUAUCCGAAAGAAAUAAGCGAAGGUUUCACUGGUAUUCCUGACAACUUAGAUGCCGCGCUCGUGUGGUCCGGAAACGGCAAGAUUUACUUCUACAAGGGCUCUAAGUUCUGGAGGUUCGACCCUGCGCAGCGGCCGCCGGUCAAGUCCACCUACCCCAAGCCGCUCUCCAACUGGGAGGGCAUCCCCGACAACAUCAACGCCGCCCUUCAAUACACUAAUGGCUACACCUACUUCUUUAAGGGAGGCCAGUACUGGAGGUUUAACGACCGGACGUUUAGUGUGGACUCGGAUAAUCCCGCGUUCCCACGCAGCACGGCGUUCUGGUGGCUGGGCUGCACGAGCGCGCCGCGCGGCACAGUUGGAGGUAACGCGCGGCUGUCUGCCCCCGCGCCGUCGGAAGACGACGUCGGCGAGAUUCAGUUCGACGCAGGUGUAAAUCCAUCCGCUCCCAGAUCAUUCUUCUGGUUCAGGAAAUAGUCUCCGUGGAGCAUUUCUGAACAUUGUAUAUAGAGAAAUUGCAUACAGAACAAAGACUCAAUUAGUUACAUAGGAGAAUAUAUGCGAAUACCAGUGAGAUUAUAGAGAUAAGCAGUGAUUUAGAGCGGCCCGCUUGUCACGCGCUGACUAUGUGGUGAAACCUGUCAAGCCAGUGGCGUGGGCAUUGCAUAUUGUUAUGAAUUGAAUGCGCUUCCAGUUGUGCGUAGCAAGUUCGCCUCUCAGCUAUGCGUUACUACGAAUACGACGUAAGAUUCUAAUUAUGCAUGUACAAGUGUGAAAUGCACUUUCUAAAAUAACUCUUCACCCACGGUUUAAACUGGAAUCUAAUUCAUUAUUUAGAAAAAAUAUAGGUGUGUAUAUAUAUACGAAUUAACUAUAUAUUGAUGUUAUCAAAAUGCACUGUAAAUAUAUUUUAAUCUCAAAACACUUUCGUAAACUAACUUAUACUGGCAAGUGAACGAUUUGUUACUAACUAAUUAUACAACACGUUUUUUAGCAUGAAUGAUACUGACUCCACUGUAGUAAAUAAUGUAAAAAUACACUUUAACAGAGUUCAAGCGAUAUUUGUUUUUAAAACUCAACUGUUUAAGAGGUAAAUUCUUAGAUUGAUGUACAGCCUUCUAAUCUAAGAAUCCUAUGAACAUGGAACUGAGUGUGUCCAGUGCAUGUGUACAUACGUGUGUAGAAUAGUUAUAUUAAGAAGUAGUUACACGUAGUGGGUCUGAUCAAGUAGUGGCUAGAGGGUUUUGGUUGCGGUGGAUUAAGUAUCCUUUUUAAGGGAAAGUUAAUGUUUCAGUGGUCAGCGUCCAGUCGGGCGGCGCUAGACUGUAGUACUUGAGCGGCCGUGAGCCGUGUUAUAUAGGAGGGCUCCCUCCGCCGCGACA